GGCAGACCGAUGGCAGACCGACUCCCUAGGGCAGCAAGUAGAGAACAGCGGCCGUACGCCCCAGAGACUGUCGCGCGUUUCACGUGGAAUGCAUACGGACUUGGAAAGCCUGAAAAUCACAUCUGAUUUGAUAUCGGGUAACUGCUAAUGGAACAGAGCCCGGACCUCCGAGAUCUCCAAAAUAAAGAAGGCACAGCUUAAGAGUCUGCUCUCUCACGGCUAAACAACUGGAGCCCAAGGCCAAAACCACUCAAAUUCAGAAACUCAAGAGUUUUUGGUAAUGGACACUGAGCUGCACCAGAAAGAGGCCCUUACCCACUGACAGUAAGUUGCUGUAAUUCUCCAGCAUCACAUCCAUGUACAGGAUCCUUUGGGAGGGGUCCAGCUGCUCCCAUUCCUCCUGAGUGAAGUCCACAGUCACAUCCGUGAAUGAAACAGAUCCCUGAAAUGGCAUAUUGCUAUUCAUUCUGCAAUGAUCAACAUUUGGUAAUGUAGAAAGGAUAUGUGAAAACUUAUUCUCACCUUGUUAUAAAAGUCAUUCACCAUGAAAAUUUAUAUAGAACACCAACUAUAUAUCUUCAUGGUUUUGUCAUAUUUCCAAAAAAUAUUUUUAUAAUAGAGCAUUUAUUUAGAUUCCCUUAUACCUCCGGCACUAUCACAUUUGACAGGCAUCUAAGAUUAAGAAAACACUGUUCUCUGAAAAUGUGUAUAGGGAGAUAAAUGCAUAAAUAUGCAGUAUUUAGUGUUACCAGUGCAGAGAUGAUGCUCAUAUAGGUACUUCUGUGGUAUCAAACCAGAUAGUAUUAAAGAAUUAAAGCAAAAUGUCAGGCAUAACCUACAAAUGGGAUCAAAUACUUGCAAAUCAUCUAAUAAGGGGUUAAUAUCCAAAUAUACAAAGAAUUCCUUGAGGAUGUGGAGAAAAGGGAACCCCAAUGCACUGUUCGUGGUAACGCAAACUGGUAUGGCCACUAAGAAACCCAGUGGGAAGCUGCCUCCAGAAGCAGAACCACCUCCUGAUCCAGCACUUCCACCUGUGGGUAUUUAUCCAGAGAAAACAAAAACACUAACUUGAAAAGCUACAUGCAGGGCGCCUGGGUGUCUGCCUCUGGCUCAUGCCAUGAUCUCAGGAUACAAGGAUAGAGUCCAGCAUUGGGCCCCCUGCUCCGCAGGAAGUCUGUUUCUCCCUCUGCCCAACCCCCCGCCACUCGUGCAUGUACUCUCUCCCCCAAAAAUAAAUCUUAA